rnacentral:rRNA from 1 species
UACCAGACUCCUACGGGAGGCAGCAGUGGGGGAUAUUGCACAAUGGGGGGAACCCUGAUGCAGCGACGCCGCGUGGGUGAAGGAGUGCUUCGGCAUGUAAAGCCCUAUCGGCAGGGAAGAAGCAAGACGGUACCUGAAGAAGAAGCCCCGGCUAACUACGUGCCAGCAGCUGCGGUAAUACGUAGGGGGCAAGCGUUAUCCGGGUUUACUGGGUGGAAAGGGGGCGCAGGCGGCAGCGCAAGCCAGGGGUGAAGGCGCGGGGCGCAACCCCGGGACUGCUCUUGGAACUGCGCGGCUGGAGUGCAGGAGGGGGAGGCGGAAUUCCUGGUGUAGCGGUGAAAUGCGUAGAUAUCAGGAGGAACAUCGGCGGCGAAGGCGGCCUGCUGGACCGUGACUGACGUUGAGGCUCGAGAGCGUGGGGAGCAAACAGGAUUAGAUACCCCCGUAAAA